GGGAAUGCGAGGCGGGCCCGGCGCGCACAGGCAGCAGCGGCCGCUGAGGCGCGCGGGGCACGGCGGUGCCGCCGUGUAGAGCUGUCAGGCCGGUCCGCGGGCGCGCCCGGCCCCGCGCCCCGCCGGCCGCCGCCUCCAUCCCCGCCCGCGGCCCGCGCUCCGAGCGCCCAGACCCGAGGCGGCCCGCACGUGCGCCCGCUCGCCGCCCGCCAGCCGACGAUCUGGGAGCAUGCCCGCGGGAGUCCGGCCGCUCGCCCGGGGCCAGCUGGCGGCGGCGGCGGCGCGUGGAGCCGCGGGGCGCAGCCGGCCGGGUUGGGGCCACCGGGCCGGAGUCUCCCGGGCCGCGUGAGGCGGCGGCGGCCCAGCGCGGCCGAAGAGGACGGAGCAGCGCCGUGCAGAGCGGGCCCUGGCCUGCCUGGGGGUGUACCCGGGGCCUAAGCGUGGGGUGUGGCCCUCAGAGAGAGGGGGCCAGGACUUGGAAGAAGUGCUCCCGGUUGUCCCCCUCGCUGGAGGAAAAAAUCUGGCCAAUCUCCAUCCCGUUACUGAUUCAUUGGGCUUCCGUGGUGGCUAAGUGGAAAAGAAUCUGCCUGCCAGCCAGUUCAGGAGAUGCAGGUUCGAUCCCUGGGUCGGGAAGAUCCCCUGGAGGAGGAAAUGACAACGCACCCAGUAUUCUUGCCUGGGAAAUCCAGGACAGAGGAGCCUGGUGGGCUACAGUUCAUGGGGUCGCAAAAGAAACAUGACUUGGUGACUAACCAGCAAUAACAGUUGAUUCAUCAAAUUAAACUCAGCCAACAGCACCGUUACUCGAUGCCUGAGUGAAGAUCCUCUAGCACACAUGUUUUCUCCAUAAGGCACAUCACGGUUUUCCCCAGCUCUGAGCACCAGACAGCGCUUCAGCCUCACGCUCGGGGCCAUGUUAAAUCGCUAACAAAAAGCACAGAAGUGUGAAAAGCAUGGCACUAAACAGACCACGGAGAGGAUACUUGUUGACAGUUUGAACUGAAAGGCAGGGGGCCGCCUUGUUUGACCUCUGCAGGGCUCAGUCAGGCAGGGUGACUCAGUUUUUCCCUGCUCUGUGCACGUCUGCAAAAGACCAAGUAAGCACCGCGCUCCUCAGUUCCUGAGUUACAGGUAAAACUGUAGCCAGAUAGGAGGGGCCGUAAAUACUACGGAAUCUGUGAAUAAUGGGUACCGACUGUUUUGCAAAGUAGUUCCACAACACGGCAUUCCUGAGUGAUAAGGAGGGACUGUUGCCACAUUUAACAGAAAGGAAACAGGCUCAGAGAGGUGAAGGACCUGAUGCAGCUUGUGUGAGUAGCUGGGGCCCGGCCAACACUUGCACCCACCCCUACUUGCACCUACCCCUGGCUGAUCCCAAGUGUCGUUGUUUCCCCUCAGCUCCUAUCGCAUUUGUUGUGAGAGCCUUUCCUCUCCGUGGCCACAGUCCUCCCACUCCCAGGCACAGACCUCAUCUGCUGUCUUUGUCAUUGUGUCUGCAGCAUCCAGAACAGGGCUCCUCACGUGUGCUCAGCUGAGUUCAGUUCUUUGCCGCCCCAAGGACUGUAGCCCUCCAGGCUCCUGUGUCUAUGGAAUUCUCCAGGCAAGAAUGCUGGAGUGGGCUGCCAUUGCCUCCUCCAGUGGAUCUUCCUGACCCGGGAUCGAAGCCGAGUUUCCUGCUUUGGCAGGUGGAUUCUAUACCAUUAGUGCCACCUGGACUCCUCGGCGAUGCUCAGUGAUUCUUGGGGACACCAGUUCAAUCCCUGGUCCAGGAAGAUUCCACAUGCUGUGGAGCAACUAAGCCCAUGUACCACAGCUCCUGCAGCCCACGCUUUAGAACCCGUGCUCCAUAACAAGAGAAGCCACUGCAAUGAGAAGCCUGAGCACCGCAACGACGAGUAACCCCCGCUCACUGCAACUGGAGAAAGCCCGUGCACAGCAAUGAAGACCCUGCACAACCAUAAAUAAAUGAAUAAGAUUAAAUAAACCAGCUCAAGGACACUGAAUGAACCAGUUUGUUGGGGACUGAGGCAUCCUUCAUGUUUCCCUGGUGAUGAUCCUGCUCUUUCUCCAAGGCAUUUCUUGUCUCUCUCUGAAUAAACAGC
ensembl:lncRNA